GCACACUCAUACCCUAUUAUUUAUGAUUCUUUUCAGGUUAAGGAGUUGACGGCAAGACGGCAGACAUGAGCUCCACAUUCUCCCGUUCUAUUAUAUGAUGAAGUAUUAUAUGUUGCUGUUUUUGGUAAAUAUAUCUUGCUACUAACCAACUUAGCCUCUUCCAAUUUUGGUGGGUCGAGACUUUAUAUAUAUUGGUUUAUGAUCAUGCAUUUUGAUGACGGCUGUGACCGAAUAUAUAUAUUUUUACUAUUUAGUUACGAGCUGUGCCUCGAACACGUUAAUUAUAUUUAAACUUGAUGGUUUUGAUGUACUCCACUUUUUAUAUAUAUAAAUAUGAUGCUUAGAUAAAGUUAUUAUUGAAUGUCGUUUAUAUAACUUACAGCUUCCUUGCCUUUGAUAUAUAUAUAUAUAUAUUUAUAUAUAUAUAUAUAUAUAUAUAUAGUUGGUGUAUAUUAUUAGUUAGUUAGUUAGUACGUACGUUCCGUUACUAUUUUUUUAUAUAUUGGAAAAGAGAAAUAAAAUUUUGAUAAUUUUUCUAUUACACAUAUAGUAGUAUUUUUAAUAACUCAUUGUUAAGUAUUAUUACUUUUAAUAGUAAUAUUUUAUUAGAUUACUAUAUAAUCAAAAAAGGAAAUUCUUUUUUCUAUUUUUCUUUAUAGCCUAUACUUAAAUUAAUAUUAGAGAAAUGAAAUAAAAUGAAUAUUUUUGGUAGCAUCUCUUAUUCGCAAGGGAUGGGGGCGUUACAGUAAUGAACGAUAAGCGUGGUCGCUGUGUGUUUGCAAUCAAUGAAAUAAGCUGUGAGAUUUGAGCCUUGACUGUCAUUAUUUUACAGUCUUAUUUCUUAUUCUUGAGUGAUUGUUCGAGCAUGCAUGUUUCUCACUAGAAUUUGUCUUGGUUUCUCCCUCGAGGUCACAUAGUGUGCUUAAUAACUUUGAGAUGAUAGAAGGCCAUCUUUGCUAGCCUAUUUAUCCGAUGACUAUAUAUGAUCCUAGUUCACCCCAUUUGAGCCUCAUUUUUCCAUAUUCUUUGAUUUAGCUAUGGGUGAGAGCUUGGAGAUUAUUUGAUAGGAGAUAAUUGGGUUGUGGAGAUGAAUGGUCAUGAGUUAUGUUUUGUGGUUUUAAAUUGAAAAUUCUAGUACCCUACAAGUUGUUGAAAAAAAAAUGGUGAAGAAAAGAAAAGAAAAAAAAAAGUGAGAAAAGAAUUGAAAAAAAUGGGUACAUAGGAUGCAUUAGAGAGACAUAAUGUUAUGAGAAAUAAUUGUUGAGUUGUGAUGGUUCUCGUAUUGAAAAAUCUGGUUUUAUGAGAGGUGGAAGAUGGUAUGGAUUAAGAAUGCUAUAAGGUUGGUGAUUGUGCUACAUUGAGAGUAUCUAUUAGUCACUUAGCCAAAUUUAUCCUACCUUACCAAAUAGCCUACAUUACAACCCUCAAUAAAGACCUUUUUGAUCUUGGUUAUAAGAGCACACAUUAAGUGGUGGAGAGGUGAGACGAUUGACAAGCUUAUGGUUGAGUACUUGUUUUGCUUGAACUGAGUGUAAACACGUCCGUAUCUUUGAUUGAUACACUUGAGAGUUGAGAGUUCUUAUAUUAUUUAUCUUUUUGGUGAGGAUUGCAGGUCAUUGAGACCACAAUUUGAAGUUUGUCAUGAGUGUGAUAUCUUGAUGAUUGGAGAUACAAAUGCAUGUUGUUAUUUUUGUUGACAAAUCUGAAGCCACAUUGUUAUCCACUUUUCUCUACACUCUUGUUGAUUCAUUCUUGGUUCAUCUUUGUUUUGUCCGAGGACGGACAAUGGUUUAAGUUUGGGGAGUUUGUUUUACAUGCAAUUUUCACUCCUUUAUCGCGUUAUUCUUUAGUGUUUUGGGCGUUUCUAAUUGAGUUGUUGAGUUGUCUAUGGUUUAAAUUGCAUAUUUUUGUGGAAUAGACUACUCGUCUGUGCUCAUGUUGUUUUUACAGGUUUUGGACUCAAUUUGGGAUGAUUUUGAUAAUAUAGAGAUAAGUACAUGAAGAGACGAGUCCGUAGGCGAAAACAAAGGUCGAUUCGGACAUCGGACGAGGAAGAACGAGCGUCGGGAAGUUUGCAGGUCGGAGCGCACGCGCUGGAGGUCGCGUGAUCCGGGCAUGCGGCUGCAUGCCACGGCCGCGCGACAGAGCAGGACUCGCUGGACAGCACACGCGGGCGCGGCACGCGGCCGCACGAGCUCACGCGGGCUAGGCAUGCGGCCGCGCGAGUCGCCGAAUUUCCGCCCAAAAGUUCGUUUUUUAGCUGUAUACGCGAUUUUGGGGUAUUUUUGAGUCCUACUUGACCUAGGUCAUAAAAAUACUCCCUAAGAACUUAUUCUCAGGACUUUUUUUUAUCACCUUUUAUCACUUUUCAUGAGAGCUGUGAGAGACAGAGAACGGAGCCAGAGCAAGAACUGAAGAUUCUCGAUUUCACUACGGUUUUAUUGUUGAAUGUUUUUUUUGUUUUAUUGAGACUUUGAUUCUAGUUCAUAUGUCUAUGUGUGGCUAGAAUCCCUUUUUCCCAAGGUUUAUGGAGUAGACAUGAUUUGAAUUUCUGACUGUUUGAUUCAAUUAAUUGAGAUUGUUAUUCCUUUUUAUGUUCUUGUUAUAAUUGUUUGCUUUAUUGCUUAAUCACCAAUUUAGCAUAAUCAUAGGUAAUAAUUUGAGAUUAGGAGAUGAUGAUUUUUACCUGAACUAAGAACAUAGAACACAUUUAUUUUAAUUCUAAAGGGAAUUGAUAUGUGUGAGGGCAUUAAUCCUAGGAACUUUUAGGAGUUACAUGUUAGAAGUGUGAUCCAGGGAUGAUAACCUUGCAUGUAAUCAAUGGUUUGUAUG
rnacentral:lncRNA from 1 species